AACGUAGGACGCAAGCGUUAUCCGGAGUUACUGGGCGUAAAGCGCGGGCAGGCGGUCUUGCCAGUCUGAUGUGAAAUCUCUCAGCUCAACUGGGAGCAGCCAUUGGAAACUACAAGACUGGAGUCUGGCAGAGGUAGGCGGAAUUCCGGGUGGAGUGGUGAAAUGCGUAGAGAUCCGGAGGAACACCAGAGGCGAAGGCGGCCUACUGGGCCAGUACUGACACUCAAGUGCGAAAGCGUGGGGAGCAAACAGG
rnacentral:rRNA from 1 species